rnacentral:rRNA from 1 species
CCUACGUGAGGCAGCAGUGAGGAAUAUUGGUCAAUGGCCGAAAGGCUGAACCAGCCACGUAGCGUGAGGGAUGACUGCCCUAUGGGUUGUAAACCUCUUUUAUGCGGGGAUAAAGGUGUCCACGUGUGGAUGUUUGCAGGUACCGCAUGAAUACGGACCGGCUAAUUCCGUGCCAGCAGCCGCGGUAAUACGGAGGGUCCGGGCGUUAUCCGGAUUUAUUGGGUGUAAAGGGAGCGUAGGGCGGUCUUUAAGCGUGCCGUGAAAUUUUGUGGCUCAACCAUGAGAGUGCGGCGCGAACUGGAGACCUAGAGUGCGGGGAAGGCAGGCGGAAUUCGUGGUGUAGCGGUGAAAUGCUUAGAGAUCACGAAGAACACCGAUUGCGAAGGC